GCUGGGAGUGGUGGCGCACUCCUGUAAUCCCAGCUACUUGGGAGGCUGAGGCAGGAGAAUUGUUUGAACCCAGGAGGUGGAGGUUGCAGUGAGCCAAGAUCGCGCCAUUGCACUCCAGCCUGGGUGACAGGGCAAGACUCUGUCUCAA
rnacentral:SRP_RNA from 1 species